rnacentral:misc_RNA from 1 species
AUUGCAACCACAGCAGUGAAGUUGACGAGCAAGGCCUCAGGGCUGUAUUUGGCAAGUCCCGAGUUCUCAAGGAAUGUGAGCUUCUCUAAUAACCCAAUUGCAGCAUUUGCAACUGCCAAAAUAUACGCGAACGCCCCUAAUAACACAUGCCAUGGCAGGGACUCGCUCAUAACUGCAGUUGAACCUCCAGGGAAGAAAAAUACAAGAAAUCCGUAUAUCCACUGAAUGCCAUAGAGGACAAUGAUCGUGAUCCCAAGCCAUGAAUGCAGGCUGUAAAGGUUAGCAAUGCCGCUCUCAUUAUGAAAUUUAAAAACCGUGUAGAUGCCAAUUAUACCCAGAAUUAGUGCAACGGCAUGGAGAACCAGAUGUAUGAGUUUCUUCUCUUGUUUCUUCAAAGGAAGUGAUUUAUAACUUAUAAUGGCUUCGCCUCCUAUGAUGAUCAAGCCAAUUAGCAUCAAAACGGGAUGAAUAUUGAAGAUGAGACUUUUGUUGGAAGCUUCCCAGGCCAAGCCACCUCUAAAGUGUAUGCACCAAACCAAUACCAGAACCGCACCAGCGAUCGCAAGUGCGUGCGUAACAAACGUGAAUGGUAGUGCUUUAAACUCGAAAGCCAUAUAUGCUCACCUUGGUUUCUUCUUCUCAAUCAGCUUGAAACCAAAGGAUCACAGGGAAGAAAAAGAAGAGAGAGAGAGAGAGAGAGAGA